CCUCUGUAGUUCAGUCGGUAGAACGGCGGACUGUUAAUCCGUAUGUCACUGGUUCGAGUCCAGUCA
rnacentral:tRNA from 2 species